rnacentral:tRNA from 1 species
AGUAAAGUCAGCUAAAUAAGCUAUCGGGCCCAUACCCCGAAAAUGCCAACACGGCCUUUACCA